UUGUCCUUGGUAAUAAAAAAAAAAGCAACUCCCCCAGUGACCAGUAGUAUUCCAGACAACAGGAUUCUAUUUAUCAACUUGUCAAAAUGAAAGGAUUGAUUUUAGUCGUGGUUUUGGUCACACUGAUGAUUUCAACUGAUGCGUUCAUGAUGCACAGCAGACAGCGUUGCCUCUGUCUGAAAACACGGGACCGUGUGAAUUUCAGUAACAUUGUCAAUUACACCGUUCAUCAGAGGAGUGCAAUGUGUGGCCACGUGGAGAUAGUGGUGAAGUUGAAAAUACCAUCAAAAAGUAUCUGCCUGAAUCCAGACUCUAAAACGGGCAAGAGAAUACAGAAUAAGUGGAACCUGGAGAACUGAGCCAAACAUGAUAACACAAAACUAUAUAAUGAUGAUAUAACUGACUGCACUGACCAAAAAGUACAUGUAACUAUGUUGUCUUUCUUUGCAGUUUCAGGCAUUUUAAGUGUUCUACUGACAAUGCAAUUAGAAAGUGUAUUUCAGAGCUACAAGGUAAUGCCCAAAGCUUGUAACAUCAAUCUAGAACAUCUCUGCUAUGACAAGCCUGUAACAUCAAUCUAGAACAUCUCUGCUAUGACAAGCCUGUAA